CCUUUUAGGGCAAGUCCUAUACAGCCAGCUCCCUUUGAACUCCGUCAGGGCAGGAAUGCAGCAGCGGUAAUCUGGUCGUAGCGGCGUGAUAUAGAUCGCUUGCCCUUUU
rfam:Balneola sp. EhC07 strain EhC08 A6_Contig5, whole genome shotgun sequence.